rnacentral:rRNA from 1 species
UUUGGGAUAAGCCUGGGAAACUGGGUCUAAUACCGAAUAUGACCGCGCACUUCCUGGUGUGUGGUGGAAAGCUUUUGCGGUGUGGGAUGGGCCCGCGGCCUAUCAGCUUGUUGGUGGGGUAAUGGCCUACCAAGGCGACGACGGGUAGCCGGCCUGAGAGGGUGACCGGCCACACUGGGACUGAGAUACGGCCCAGACUCCUACGGGAGGCAGCAGUGGGGAAUAUUGCACAAUGGGCGCAAGCCUGAUGCAGCGACGCCGCGUGAGGGAUGACGGCCUUCGGGUUGUAAACCUCUUUCAAUAGGGACGAAGCGCAAGUGACGGUACCUAUAGAAGAAGGACCGGCCAACUACGUGCCAGCAGCCGCGGUAAUAC